rnacentral:rRNA from 1 species
GAUGAACGCUGGCGGCGUGCCUAAUACAUGCAAGUCGAGCGAACAGACGAGGAGCUUGCUCCUCUGACGUUAGCGGCGGACGGGUGAGUAACACGUGGAUAACCUACCUAUAAGACUGGGAUAACUUCGGGAAACCGGAGCUAAUACCGGAUAAUAUAUUGAACCUCAUGGUUCAAUAGUGAAAUACGGUUUUGCUGUCACUUAUAGAUGGAUCCGCGCCGCAUUAGCUAGUUGGUAAGGUAACGGCUUACCAAGGCAACGAUGCGUAGCCGACCUGAGAGGGUGAUCGGCCACACUGGAACUGAGACACGGUCCAGACUCCUACGGGAGGCAGCAGUAGGGAAUCUUCCGCAAAGGGCGAAAGCCUGACGGAGCAACGCCGCGUGAGUGAUGAAGGUCUUCGGAUCGUAAAACUCUGUUAUUAGGGAAGAACAAAUGUGUAAGUAACUAUGCACGUCUUGACGGUACCUAAUCAGAAAGCCACGGCUAACUACGUG